AGAGUUUGAUCCUGGCUCAGGACGAACGCUGGCGGCGUGCUUAACACAUGCAAGUCGAACGAUGAAGCCCAGCUUGCUGGGUGGAUUAGUGGCGAACGGGUGAGUAACACGUGAGUAACCUGCCCUUGACUCUGGGAUAAGCGCUGGAAACGGCGUCUAAUACCGGAUAUGACAACCGACGGCAUCGUCUGGUUGUGGAAAGAAUNUUGGUCAAGGAUGGACUCGCGGCCUAUCAGCUUGUUGGUGAGGUAAUGGCUCACCAAGGCGACGACGGGUAGNCGGCCUGAGAGGGUGACCGGCCACACUGGGACUGAGACACGGCCCAGACNCCUACGGGAGGCAGCAGUGGGGAAUAUUGCACAAUGGGCGAAAGCCUGAUGCAGCAACGCCGCGUGAGGGACGACNGGCUUCGGGUUGUAAACCUCUUUUAGCAGGGAAGAAGCGAAAGUGACG
rnacentral:rRNA from 1 species